GACGAACCGUGCAAACGUUGUUCGGAAUCACUGGGCGUAAAGGGCGCGUAGGCGGCUUUAUAAGUCGGGGGUGAAAGCCUGUGGCUCAACCACAGAAUUGCCUUCGAUACUGUAGAGCUUGAGACCGGAAGAGGUAAGUGGAACUGCGAGUGUAGAGGUGAAAUUCGUAGAUAUUCGCAAGAACACCAGUGGCGAAGGCGGCUUACUGGUCCGGUUCUGACGCUGAGGCGCGAAAGCGUGGGGAGCAAACAGG
rnacentral:rRNA from 1 species